ensembl:lncRNA
UUGUAAGCACUGCUAAGCAAUAAUACUUGUUAUAACAAUUCAUACUUCAUGAUGUUAUGACAAUUAUAUAAACAUGUAUGAACCUAUAUUAUGCAACUUUCAGAAAGACAGGUAUGUAAUGCUUCAAAAAGAAAUAGUCUGACACAGAUCUACCUAUCUAUCUAUCCAUCUAUCUGUAUAUCUAUCAAUCAGUAUGUAUGAUUAAAAUGCUUCUAAUAUACACUACUGUGAUUUUAGCAAUGGUUUCACAUGGUAUCUUUAAAAUAAAUGCAUUUACUCACCAAAGAAUACUCUGGUUUUGUGUAUUUUACACUUACAUUUUUACUUCUGUUUAUGAAGCUUCUAAGAGCAGCCCUGAGCUCUGCAUGUAAAAUCACCCACAAAAAUGGGCAAUAAACCAGUGACUGUGGCACAUUUAUUAUUGUCAAACUGGUCUGAGACACUAUAUUGCAGAAAAGAGAACGAAGACAAUAAUUUAUAAAGAAGUAGGAGAAGAACAGAUGUGUGUUAAGAAGCCAUUUUAGGGCCCCCAAAAUGUAGCAUUCAGCUUCAGUCAAACCUGAUUGUGUGGGUUUAAGAUAAAGCUGUAAAGAUUCUAUAAUAAAAAGAUAGCAGUUCUUUCACAAAAUAAAUAAAUGCAAUUCAAUGUCUUUAGAAAGAACUGUCUAUGAAUCCUAAGACAGUUCUGAAAAUAUUGAUUAAUGUACAAAUGUAGCAUACAAAUGACAGUUCCUUAAAAGUCCAGCAGAAGGCAGUAACCUGAGUGGUUAAAGGAAUAGUAGUUCAUAGUGAAAACACACCGUAAUGAUGGAUUUGCUUUUUACAAGCAUGCUGCUUUUUGUUUCACAAGAUGUUAAUUGAUGGAGUCGAGUGGAUUACUUGUGGAUUAUUGUGAUAUUUUUAUAAGAUGGGCUCUCAACCUGAUGCCACCCAUUCACUGCAGAGGAUCCAUUGCCUCUGAAUGCGACAGUCUGGGUUUCUCAGAACAAGGGAUAACACAGAUGCUCCCUCUGAACCAAGAGGAUUCUGGCCCAGGCUUUAUGUAAAGAACAUACAAUGAAUAUCACAGAGCACAAAAAAAAUAAAAAAUGUACAUUGAGUGUUUCACAUCUGCCUCUGAACAUUUAUACCUACAGUUACAGUAUUUACCUGAGUGUCGAGAAGAGAGGAAGGGCUGGUAGGAGCUGGUAUAGUCCUUGAGCAUCGAGUCCUUGAGCAUCUAAAUUUAAAACCUGCAGAUCUGGACUGAGCUGUAACAGGAAAGCCAGCUCGCUCCAGUCCCUGUUUACCGAAUCGGACUGAUCUGAGGCCUGCUGUGAAAGAACUUUCAUCCAACUCUGUAGCCGCUGUGACAAACCAGGGUCCUGGGCCUCAUACAGACAGUGACAAACAUUGACCUGCCUCUCAGGGCUGAGGGUGGAGCUCUGGAGUUGGGAGUGUAACAGAUGGAGGAGGAAAGGUGGAGUCGGGUCUGGAGAGGGCUGGCAACGGAGCAGAUGCAUCUUGGGCCCAUCACGGAAAAAUCCAUUUAGGAUGAGACGUGUUCUAGGAACCAGCAGGCCACAUACAAACCUGGAUAAGCGGAAAUAACUGGUCAGUUAUGAAAUGGAGUAAUUGUAAAUCCAAAUUUUACAACCUGAACUAACCUUUCCUUUCCAAUUUAUAUGAUAUUUCUAUUGAAGAUUUGCAUUCAAUACUCUGUAAGUGUG